CUUUGGCCCCUUGAGUGUUCUAACGCCACUUCUUCAAAAUAGACUCACCCAGGCCAAAAACCUAUUUCUGCGCAUAGGCCGUGAAGUUUCAAUCGUACUGUACAUGCACACCCGCACGUGGUAUUUGGUGGAAGAGCCACACUCAAGAGGCGAAAGAGCCGCAUGUGGCUCCCGAGCUGUGGUUUACCAACCACUGGGCUAAUAUAUAAUUGUUUCUAAA